rnacentral:rRNA from 1 species
AGUGAACGCUGGCGGUAGGCCUAACACAUGCAAGUCGAACGGCAGCACAGUAAGAGCUUGCUCUUACGGGUGGCGAGUGGCGUACGGGAGAGGAAUACAUCGUAAUCUACUUUUUCGUGGGGGUUAACGUAGCGAGACUUACGCUAAUACCGCAUACGACCUACGGGGGAAAGCAGUGGAUCUUCGGACCUGGCGCGAUUGAAUGAGCCGAUGUCGGGUUAGCUGGUUGGCGGGGUAAAGACCCACCAAGGCGACGAUCCGUAGCUGGUCUGAGUGGAUGGUCAGCCACAUUGGAACUGAGACACCGUCCAGACGACUGAGGGAGGCAGCAGUGGGGAAUAUUGGGCAACGGGGGCAAGCAUGAUCCAGUCAUAGCGAGUCGGAGAAGGAGGCCUUCCGGGUGUGAAGACGUUUUGUUGGGAAUGAAAAGCAGCCGGUUGAUACGCCGCUGUUCUGACGGUAACCAAAGAAUAAGCACCGGCUAACUUCGUG